rnacentral:rRNA from 1 species
ACGAGGGGUGCAAACGUUAUUCGGAAUCACUGGGCGUAAAGGGUAUGUAGACGGCGAAACAAGUCAGUUAUAAAAUCUCUUGGCUUAACCAAGAGCUCGUAGCUGAAACUGAUUUGCUUGAGGGUGGAAGAGAGAAGCGGAAUUCUCGGAGUAGCGGUAAAAUGCGUAGAUCUCGAGAGGAACACCGAUGGCGAAGGCAGCUUCUUGGUCCACUUCUGACGUUGAGGUACGAAAGCGUGGGGAGCAAACAGG